rnacentral:sRNA from 1 species
GCGCUUCCAAAAAUGCUGCCUGAUGAGU